CAAUGCUAUAAAAUUAACGAUACAUAAUAAAACUUUAAAUUUUUGAAAAAAGUAAAAAUAUAUUUCAAAUUGAAUUCAUAAAACAAAGGGAAUAUUAGAAAGUAAAUUAAUCUAUGUCUUCCAAUACACCAUCUUAAUCAAAUGGUUAAUAUUCCUAUUUGGAUAAAAAAAAGAAAUCAGAGACGUUCAAAUGUGUCACAUAAAUUAGAUUAUCAUAAUCAGCAAAAUUUGUUUCACUUUUCCAUUUUUCUUGAUUUUUGGUAGAGAUCUACAAAAUGUUUUAUCAUAUGACAGGUACGUGUUCAAUGCCAUUUCAUUCUAUAUGUAUAGCAACUUUUUUCGUACUCAUUUUUAGAUGUGUUACUUAAAUUUUCUUUGUAAUUUUUGAAAUUGUUGUUUUAUUACUGAUAAUUUUGUCUAUAAUUUAUUCCAAGUGUACGUCUGCUUCUAUGUUCACGUUCAAAUUCAUGUCCUUGUCUUAAUAUUGCAUUUGUUUUAGGUAAUAUAGUUUCAUUUGUUUUGGGCAAUCGUACAGAACCAGUUGGACGUAACCUAAAUUUUUCUUCAGCAGUUAUUAUUUUGUUCAGUUACAACACAGACAAGAUAUAAGUUCUGAGUAUUUUUUGAAAUCUCGCUCACAAUAUUCCUAUAGCAGGAGCCCAAUCGAGGCAUGAAAUGUGGAAAAGUUUUUUCCUAACAUAUUUUCAUUAGUGACUUUUUCUCCACACAAAGUCAAUUUUGAACAUAUUUUGAAUAGUUUAUAAUUGUAUUCAUUAACGGUUUUGAAGUUUUGCAAACAAAGGCGUAUCUACUCAUAGCGGCAAGGACGGAUU
rnacentral:lncRNA from 1 species